GCAGUUUUUCCCUCCCAUGUCUCAUCAUUUUCGUCUUCAUUCCCUCCUUUGACCCUCCACACCUGAUAUAAACAAUAACAAGCAAACAAACCUCACCAGUCACCACAGUUCAGAUUGAAAAGUUAAGCAAUUCUCCAAACGAACACACAUAAUCUUGGUCCUUGGAAACUCCACACUCCACAGUGUAUAUAAAACUGUUUUAAGUGUUACGAGCGAGUGAGUGAGAGAGUGAAAGAAUCAUCAAAGAUCAGAAUAGAGAAGAGAGAAAGAGAUGAAGAAUAUUUUCAAGAAGCUUCACAAAGGGACCAGCCACGACGCUAACCGACUCAAUGAAGCUUCUGCUUCAAACGCCUCAUCCUCAUUAGCCGUCGAUCACCCCUUAGUUCAGAAUUCUGGCGCUUCGCCGGCCACUCCUUCACCCGCUUCUCUUUCGUCAUCGCCGUCUCUGGCCGCCGCGACGACGCCUUCUUCCGCUUCCACUCCGGAAGCUUCAGCGGCCAACCGGCAGGACUAUUUUUCGUCGGAGGAAGAAUUUCAGGUCCAGCUUGCGCUCGCCAUAAGUGCUUCGUCCAAUUCGGACUUCCGCGGUGAUCACGAGAAGGAUCAGAUCCAUGCGGCGACGCUGUUGAGCUUAGGAGGACGUGGAAUCGAUUCAACAAGGAUCGAUAACGGUGUGGCGGAGGCGCUGUCCAGGCAUUAUUGGGAAUACAGCGUGCUUGACUAUGAACAGAAAGUGGUUGAUGGUUUUUAUGAUGUAUAUGGGCUUUAUACUGAUUUAACAAUGCAAGGAAAGAUGCCAUCUCUGAGAGAUCUUGAAGCAGAACCUGAAAGCUCUGGCUUCGAAGUUGUCAUAGUUGAUCGGACAAUUGAUCCUGCUAUUGUAGAGCUGUUGCAAAUUGCACAUUGUAUUGCAUUGGACUGCCCUGUCACUGGGCUUGGUAUUUUGGUACAAAGGAUUGCUGAACUUGUUACAAGCCAUAUGGGUGGUCCUGUAAAGGAUGCUAGUACUAUAUUGGCAAGAUGGACAGAAAGAAGUACUGAGUUAAGAACAUCUCUACACACAAUCAUGUUGCCUCUUGGGUGCAUAAAUAUUGGGCUCUCCAGACAUCGUGCUUUGCUUUUCAAGGUAAUAGCUGACAAUAUCAAUAUGCCUUGUAGACUGGUUAAAGGCAGUCAUUAUACUGGUGUUGAGGAUGAUGCUGUCAACAUUAUAAAGUUGGAGGAUGAAAGGGAGUUUUUGGUUGAUCUCAUGGCUGCUCCUGGCACACUUAUCCCAAUUGAUAUUUCAAAUUCAAAGGAUCCUUCCUUUAAACCUUACAAUCCUAAGGUCUUACCAAGUUUUCCUUCCACUAAGGAAAUUGAUUAUCCUAACACGAGACCAAUGUUAUCUCAUGGUGAAGGUAGCAGUAAAAAUUUUGCUAUGAGAAGUGCUUUGCCUCCACUGAAUGAAAAACCAUGUUUUGACGAGUCAGCUUCAAGCUUUCGUUUGAAUGGAGACACUGAUGUUGGAACUUACAAAAUGCCUAAUUGUUUGAUGCCUAACCAACCAGAAAAUAUUGCACCACUAUCUGGAGUUUCUCUAUACAAGGGGACCCAUGGAAAUGUGGCUGGUGAUAGGACUAGAUUAAAUGUCAACAUUGUGCCCUAUGGCCAGAAUAGCCCUGAUGACUCUCAAAGCCUUUUUGCAGAUCUUAACCCUUUCCAGAUAAAAGGAAUUGGCAAGACCUUUGUGCUUAACAAAUCAGGAGCAAAUAAAGCUCAUGAUCUUCAGAGUACAAGAAACAAUACCGUCACUGGUCGACCACCGAUCCCACCAAAAUGGACAAAUCGUUAUGCUUAUAAUGAAGUCCCUAGGAACCUUAGUUGUGAUCCUAAUGAAUAUAGCCAACCUUUAUUAGCUUCUAGUAGUUCUUCUAAGAUUGAACUGAAUGAUUCCAAACCACCAUAUAGUUCAAACUUAAAUAAUAAUAGAAAUCCCCAAAAAUUGGCUCAAGGAACUUGUGCAGUUUCUCCAUCUUAUGCAGGUGAACUUAACAUGGCUGAAGAUCUAAACACUGAUUGUAAAAAAGGGGAUAUGGAAUAUUCUCCAAAUGACAAAGUUGAUGUGGUUAAAGAACAUGAAAACAUUUAUAGUGGUCAACUUGACCCAAGGAAAUCCACACAUGACAGGUUCAUGGGGAAAAAUAUGAAAUUAAGGGAUUUAGAGAGUCAGAACCUGUCAGUUGACUCCAUUACAAAAAGGGUUGAUCAAAUGUUGGAUGAUGUAGAUGUCAGUGAAUGUGAGAUUCCAUGGGAGGAUCUUGUUAUUGGAGAAAGAAUUGGUCUAGGUUCAUAUGGUGAGGUAUACCAUGCUGACUGGAAUGGCACGGAGGUUGCUGUGAAGAAGUUUUUGGAGCAGGAUUUUUCAGGUGAUGCCUUGAAUGAAUUCAAAAGAGAAGUACGGAUAAUGCGUAGACUGCGUCAUCCAAAUGUUGUUCUUUUCAUUGGUGCUGUUACACGUCCUCCCAAUCUUUCAAUCAUUACAGAGUUUCUUCCCAGAGGAAGCUUGUAUCGAAUACUUCAUAAUCCUAACUGUCAGAUUGACGAGAAACAAAGGAUUAAGAUGGCUCUGGAUGUGGCCAGAGGCAUGAAUUGCUUACAUACCAGCACACCUACAAUUGUUCACAGAGAUCUCAAGUCUCCGAAUCUUUUGGUGGAUAAGAACUGGAAUGUUAAGGUCUGUGAUUUUGGGUUGUCACGCUUGAAACAUAAUACGUUCUUGUCAUCCAAGUCAACAGGUGGAACGCCCGAAUGGAUGGCUCCUGAAGUUCUCCGCAACGAGCCCUCGAAUGAGAACAUGUAUCAUUUCAAUCGUACAGGUGUGACGUCUAUAGUUUUGGGGUCAUCCUAUGGGAGCUUGCCACUCUAAGGCUGCCCUGGAGUGAAAUGAAUCCUAUGCAAGUUGUUGGCGCUGUGGGUUUCCAAAACCGCCGUCUUGAUAUCCCUAAGGAAGUUGACCCUAUAGUUGCAAGAAUAAUAUGGGAAUGCUGGCAACAGGAUCCAAAUUUGCGUCCAUCAUUUGCACAGCUCACAACGGCUUUAAAGCCCCUUCAGCGUCUAGUUAUCCCAUCCCAGCAAGACCAGGAUAUUUCUGUAAAUUCCACCCCAUGAAAUGCAUCAUAUGCAAUUGUAUAUAAUUGCUAUAAUUGAUCGGUCGUAGUCCGAUCCUUGUUUUCCACACACAAGUUUAGUCUACACAAAAUAUUAUAUAAUUAACUCAAGACAGUCGUUUUAUAAUUGGAAGUUGAUCUGUUGACAAGAAACUAAGAUCAACAAAUCAAAUCUGCUGCGUUUCUUA